AAACGACUGCUAAUACCGCAUAAGCCCACGGUGCCGCAUGGCACAGAGGGAAAAGGAAGCAAUCCGCUUUGAGAUGGCCUCGCGUCCGAUUAGCUAGUUGGUGAGGUAACGGCCCACCAAGGCAACGAUGCAUAGCCGGCCUGAGAGGUUGAACGGCCACAUUGGGACUGAGACACGGCCCAGACUCCUACGGGAGGCAGCAUG
rnacentral:rRNA from 1 species